CCUACGGGAGGCUGCAGUGGGGAAUAUUGGGCAAUGGGCGCAAGCCUGACCCAGCAACGCCGCGUGAAGGAAGAAGGCUCUCGGGUUGUAAACUUCUUUUCUCAGGGACGAAACAAGUGACGGUACCGAAGGAAUAAGCCACGGCUAACUACGUGCCAGCAGCCGCGGUAAUACGUAGGUGGCAAGCGUUAUCCGGAUUUACUGGGUGUAAAGGGCGUGUAGGCGGGAGCGCAAGUCAGACGUGAAAUCCCAGGGCUCAACCCUGAGACUGCGUUUGAAACUGUGCUUCUUGAGUGAUGGAGAGGCAAUCGGAAUUCCGUGUGUAGCGGUGAAAUGCGUAGAUAUACGGAGGAACACCAGUGGCGAAGGCGGAUUGCUGGACAGUAACUGACGCUGAGGCGCGAAAGCGUGGGGAGCAAACAGGAUUAGAUACCCGAGUAGUC
rnacentral:rRNA from 1 species